AACCCGGAGUACAUUUGAAUCUUCAAGUGUAAAACUGCAUCUAAAAAAGGAGUUAUUUUGCAAAGUAAAACUUUUAACUCUGUAAGCAGUGCAUUUCCCACAAUCCUCAACAGCUCUUCAAUUGGAAAACCACAUGGAGAAUAGUCCGCAGUUCAAAGGUUUUUGUAAAGAAGCUGCAUGGAUUCUGAGCACCACGUGCAGAAGUAACAAUGCUGUUCACUGUACUAUACGGAGGAAAGAAGAAACUAAUAAAAGUUGAUGGAGCAGAUUUCACCAGUUUAAUGACUCAAGUUAAGAAGAAAUUUUCAAUCAAUGACAAAGAUCUUAUAUUACAAGACGACGCUGGUGUGGAGGUGGAUGAAGAUGUAUUCACUGACUUGCUGGAGGAGAGAUCACAUGAUAUCCUAUGGAGAGUUG